GUGGGGAAUCUUGCGCAAUGGGCGAAAGCCUGACGCAGCCAUGCCGCGUGAAUGAUGAAGGUCUUAGGAUUGUAAAAUUCUUUCACCGGGGACGAUAAUGACGGUACCCGGAGAAGAAGCCCCGGCUAACUUCGUGCCAGCAGCCGCGGUAAUACGAAGGGGGCUAGCGUUGCUCGGAAUUACUGGGCGUAAAGGGCGCGUAGGCGGACAGUUUAGUCAGAGGUGAAAGCCCAGGGCUCAACCUUGGAAUUGCCUUUGAUACUGGCUGUCUUGAGUACGGGAGAGGUGAGUGGAACUCCGAGUGUAGAGGUGGAAUUCGUAGAUAUUAGGAAGAACACCAGUGGCGAAGGCGGCUCACUGGUCCGGUACUGACGCUGAGGUGCGAAAGCGUGGGGAGCAAACAGGAUUAGAAACCCGUGUAGUCC
rnacentral:rRNA from 1 species